UACAGAGGGGGCAAGCGUUGUUCGGAAUUACUGGGCGUAAAGCGCACGUAGGCGGCUUUGUAAGUUAGAGGUGAAAGCCCGGAGCUCAACUCCGGAAUUGCCUUUAAGACUGCAUCGCUCGAAUCAUGGAGAGGUGAGUGGAAUUCCGAGUGUAGAGGUGAAAUUCGUAGAUAUUCGGAAGAACACCAGUGGCGAAGGCGACUCACUGGUCCGGUACUGACGCUGAGGUGCGAAAGCGUGGGGAGCAAACAGG
rnacentral:rRNA from 1 species